AUCCGACUGACGAGUCUCAAAUAGGACAAAACGUGUGUCUUGGAU
rfam:Schistosoma mansoni, Puerto Rico, WGS project CABG01000000 data, contig: 0852